rnacentral:rRNA from 1 species
UGGCGGACGGGUGAGUAACGCGUGGAAAACCUGCCGUAUACUGGGGGAUAACACUUAGAAAUAGGUGCUAAUACCGCAUAAGCGCACAGCUUCGCAUGAAGCGGUGUGAAAAACUCUGGUGGUAUACGAUGGUUCCGCGUCUGAUUAGCUAGUUGGUGGGGUAAUGACCUACCAAGGCAACGAUCAGUAGCCGGCCUGAGAGGGUGAACGGCCACAUUGGGACUGAGACACGGCCCAAACUCCUACGGGAGGCAGCAG